AGACAGAGUAACUAAUAGACCCAAUGACGAUACCUUUCUCACUUACACAAGAAAGAGAGCGAAAAUACCAUAACAAAUGCAUAAGACAAAGACACAAAUACCCAAUUUUUUGUCCCUUAGUGUGUAACCUGUUUUUCAAGAUCCGCAACUUGAGUUGCGAAACAAACUUUGACAGUUCGUGCCUUCAUCGUGCUUGGUGUUCGAAUUUUGGAUAUUAUUUAGUAAAAAAUCGAUACGAGUACAUUGAAAAGACGGUGAAAUUAUCUUAAUAUAGACAUCGAAGUAAAUAGAAUGGUGCGUUGUCGUGUUAUUGCAUGUAUAAGCGAUAGUGAGAAGAAAAUUGCCGGUGUGUCUUUUCACGCAUGAUCCAGACCUACGUAAUUAAUGGAUCGAAGUGGGAGAAAAGAUUGGAUUCUCACAAAAUAUUGUAAAAUAUGAACAAGCCAAUGAAAAAGUAAGAAAUGUGUUCACGAAAUUAACAUUGUUUCGUCAUCAAUAAUCAAUCUGCUUAUAUUUUUUUGUAUCUACUAAAUUGAUUAUAAAGACAAAAGAAAAAUCUC